rnacentral:rRNA from 1 species
CUCCCAAUGGGCGAGGGGCGCGGUGCGUUUCUUAGCUGAACGGCAUUGCCGCGACCAAUGCGUGCGCCGCAAGUGGGCCAAUCGGGGUAAGCUCGAUUGGCGAUGCGGGGAUGCUCCGAACGUCGGGCGAAGGUGCCGGACUGCCCCGCUCACCCAGACCCCAGAAAAGGCGUUGGUUCAUUCAGACAGCCGGACGGUGGCCAUGGAAGUCGGAACCCGCUCAGGAGUGUGUAACAACUCACCGGCCGAAUGAACCGGCCCUGAAAAUGGAGGGCGCUGAAGCGGGCGACCCGUGCCCGACCAUCGGCGGACUGGCGCGCGGUCCCGAUGAGUAGGAGGCGGUCGCGUGGCGCUCCGGUCAAGAAGCGCUCCGCCGCGAGGCGGCGCGGAACGGGCGCCAGUGCAGAUCUCGGUGGAAGUAGCGAGUAUUCAGGCGAGGAACCUUGAAGGCCGACGCGAGGAAGGG